rnacentral:rRNA from 1 species
UGGGGAAUAUUGGACAAUGGGGGGAACCCUGAUCCAGCCAUGCCGCGUGUGUGAAGAAGGCCUUAUGGUUGUAAAGCACUUUAAGCGAGGAGGAGGGUACUGGUAUUAAUACUACCAGCUACUGGACGUUACUCGCAGAAUAAGCACCGGCUAACUCUGUGCCAGCAGCCGCGGUAAUACAGAGGGUGCGAGCGUUAAUCGGAUUUACUGGGCGUAAAGCGUGCGUAGGCGGCUAAUUGAGUCGGAUGUGAAAUCCCCGAGCUUAACUUGGGAAUUGCAUUCGAUACUGGUUAGCUAGAGUGUGGGAGAGGAGGGUAGAAUUCCAGGUGUAGCGGUGAAAUGCGUAGAGAUCUGGAGGAAUACCGAUGGCGAAGGCAGCCAUCUGGCCUAACACUGACGCUGAGGUACGAAAGCAUGGGGAGCAAACAGG